rnacentral:rRNA from 1 species
GACGAACGCUGGCGGCGUGCUUAACACAUGCAAGUCGAACGGAAAGGCCCUGCUUGCAGGGUACUCGAGUGGCGAACGGGUGAGUAACACGUGUGUGAUCUGCCCUGCACUUCGGGAUAAGCUUGGGAAACUGGGUCUAAUACCGGAUAGGAGCCAUCUUUAGUGUGGUGGUUGGAAAGUUUUUUCGGUGUAGGAUGAGCUCGCGGCCUAUCAGCUUGUUGGUGGGGUAAUGGCCUACCAAGGCGGCGACGGGUAGCCGGCCUGAGAGGGUGUACGGACAAAUUGGGACUGAGAUAAGGCCCAGACUCCUAUGGGAGGCAGCAGAGGGGAAUAUUGCACAAUGGGAGCAAGCAUGAUGCAGCGACGCCGCGUGGGGGAUGAAGGCCUUCGGGUUGUAAACUCCUCUCGCUAGGGACGAAGAUUUUUUGUGACGGUACCUAGAUAAGAAGCACCGGCUAACUACGUG